AUUUGAAUAGCUUAUAUGUAGAGCAUGACACUGAAGAUGUUAAGGAAAUUGAAUAAUUUUUAAAUAGUAUACAUAUAAUAUUUAUA
rnacentral:tRNA from 1 species